GCUCGCGUUGCCCCACGUGGCCGGCCGCCCCGGGCCCCACGUGGACGGGGCGGAGGAGGAAGGAGGGCGAGCGGAGGGCGAACUCCGAACCGCUGCGGCGAGACCCCAGUCUCUGCUCCGAGGCCCAGCGCCUCCCGAGAGCCUCCCGGGCGGGGCCGUGCCGGGGGCGGGCUGGGGACUGGCUGCCGCGCCCGCCCGCCGCCGCCGCGCCUAUGUGCACUUUCACGCAGCCACUAAUCCCCCGAGAGCCGAUUUGUAGUGAGGAGUCUCCGUUGGGGGCGAGACCAGCCCAUGUAGGGUUGUGUCAUUGGUUUGCAAAGAGAGACCCCGCCUUUGCAAAAAAAAAAAAAAAAAAAAAAAAAAAAGGGAGCGAGGAGUGAGUGAGCGGCGACCCUCACCUCGACUCUCGCCUCGCUCCUGCGCAGCCGGCGUCCGCCGGCAGACGCGGCCAGUGCCGCUUCUUUCCUUUUCCUUUUCUCCGUUUUCCUCCUUUCUCGGAGAAGAAAACAAAUAAAGAAGAGCAAACAGCCGGGAGGCGCUCGGCAUCCAGGACGUUCCCUCCCCCGAUCCAAGUUGGAAUCCGCAUCCUCUCGGGGGUGGCUCGGGAGUGGCCCGGAGGAGCCGGCGGUGGCCCGAGGAGCGAGGGACGGAGCCGGGAGCCAUGCCGCGCUGAGGGGGGGCUGCCAGCCACCGCCACCGCCGCCGGGUGGGGUGGGAGGGGCGGGAGCCGCCGCCGCCGCCGCCGCCGCCUCCCGGGUGGGCGCCCUUCGCCGUGGACGCCGGCGGCCCCGGACGAGGGCCUGAGGAAACACGUUAAGUACAGCAGUUCCCAGUAAGGAGAGCAACCAUGGACCUUUGUAUGUGAUCUGCAGCCCUUGAGCUGUGAACACUCAGCUAACUUAGCCUAGAGCCUGCUGAGAGGUCCACCUUUCCGCAUCCCCCAGGAUAUCUAGUGCGCCUGUCUGGCCCCCAGGAAUCCCCACAGUGCCUCUCACCCUUGCCACUCUCUCAGGUUGGUUGGCCGUUGCAGUUUGAACUUCUGCAUUGAUAUUCUAAGGGGGACAUCUUGUUUUGAGGGAAGAGGGACACUUCAAAACAUGCC
rnacentral:lncRNA from 1 species